CUGGCCCCCGUGCCCCAGUGGGAAGGGGAUGGGGGAAAGGGAGAGAGGCUGUUUCUGCUAACCGCUCCACCGACCUUCCUUCUGGGUAAAUAUCUCCAUAUGUUAACAAAUGCUAAUUAAAACCAAAAGCACAGACGAGCUCUCAGGAUGUGUGUGUAACAGGAGCACCCCAGGAUCCUGCACUGCUGUAAUCUUUCUCCUCCCAAUGGAUCUCACCUUUUAUUUGGUGUUGCACCUCCCUGACUGAUAUUUAACCUUGCUCCUGGUGCUCUUUGUUGGAGUUUUGCCAUGCAUACAAUACUGCUCUGAUGGGUGUCUACAGAUACCUGAGGGGCGAGCCCAGGUGUUUUGCUGGUCAAGAGGGAAAAUAUGUUUAUUUGCAGCAUGCCUUGCAGUCAUUUGCUUUGAAGGCCUGGGAAGAAGAGAUGUUGGCAAAGGGGAAACAUCCACAUCAUAGAUACUGUCAGGCUCUACAAGUCUAAGCACCCAGGACUUAAAAAAGACAUCUACAGACACUGACAUCAAACCACUCAUGGGUACUGUGCUAGCUUUGGGCUGGCACCGACUGCACCACCCAGUGAUCUCUGUCAUGUGGGUAGAAAUCGUCACCAAACUGUGUGCUCUUUGCUACUACAAGGUGUUAGCCUGGCAGGGGGUUGUAUGUGAGACUGUUUUGGGAUCCUGCCUGCUUCUGAUCACUUCAACUCCCACACUGCUGGUACAAGCACUGAAGAAAGGGGAUUAUUUGAAGCAAAUAGCCUAUAGAUGGACAAAUAUAAAUAAAUAAAUAGAUGGACAAAAUCUUCUUACUACAUUGUCACUGAUAGAAAACGGCAGCAAAUGCAGAUAUGGUCUUUGUCAACAAAAUUUUGGUGGACAACUGGUGAUGGACUUAACUGGAUGCUUGCAUCCUAAGCCAACUGCUGUAAAGAUAAAAGCAGCCCUUUCAAGUUGUUGCAUUGGGGUUCAAAAGCAAAACUGAGAAGGCUUCACUAGGGAACUUGAUCUCUUGUAGUGCUUAUUCUCACAAACCAAGAGCAGCAAUUAAUAUCUCUUUCAGAUGGUGAGAAUCUCUUUCAGAUGGUGAGAAUAAACAGUCUUGUAGACAUGCA
rnacentral:lncRNA from 1 species